AGAGUUUGAUCCUGGCUCAGGAUGAACGCUAGCUACAGGCUUAACACAUGCAAGUCGUGGGGCAGCGGAUGCUUAGCUUGCUAAGUAUGCCGGCGACCGGCGCACGGGUGAGUAACGCGUACCGAACCUGCCCAUCACACAGGGAUAGGCUUGCGAAAGCAAGAUUAAUACCUGAUGGUCUCAGUUGUAUGCAUGUAUGAUUGAGUAAAGCCUUCGGGCGGUGAUGGAUGGCGGUGCGUCCCAUUAGGAAGUUGGCGGGGUAACGGCCCACCAAUCCUUCGAUGGGUAGGGGUUCUGAGAGGAAGGUCCCCCACAUUGGAACUGAGAUACGGUCCAAACUCCUACGGGAGGCAGCAGUGAGGAAUAUUGGUCAAUGGGCGAGAGCCUGAACCAGCCAAGUAGCGUGCAGGAUGACGGCCCUAUGGGUUGUAAACUGCUUUUGUAUGGGGAUAAAGUUAGGGACGUGUCCCUAUUUGCAGGUACCAUACGAAUAAGGACCGGCUAAUUCCGUGCCAGCAGCCGCGGUAAUACGGAAGGUCCGGGCGUUAUCCGGAAUUAUUGGGUUUAAAGGGAGCGCAGGCGGGAGUAUAAGUCAGCUGUUAAAUAUCAGGGCCCAACUCUGUUAUGCAGUUGAAACUAUAUUUCUUGAGUACGCACAGGGAUGGCGGAAUUCAGGGUGUAGCGGUGAAAUGCUUAGAUAUCCUGAAGAACUCCGAUCGCGAAGGCAGCCAUCCGGAGCGUAACUGACGCUGAGGCUCGAAGGUGCGGGUAUCGAACAGGAUUAGAUACCCUGGUAGUCCGCACGGUAAACGAUGAAUACUCGCAGUUCGGUCAUUAUGAUUGAGUUGUCCAGCGAAAGCGUUAAGUAUUCCACCUGGGGAGUACGCCGGCAACGGUGAAACUCAAAGGAAUUGACGGGGGCCC
rnacentral:rRNA from 1 species